UUGGAGUCUCGGACACAUUACUUACAGUGAACACUGAGGGUGAUGACCUUGUACUUGACAGCCGAAAGGAGCGCAGUUGCCAGGAAACAAAUGGCUUAGAUUCUGCCUGGGCAUUGCACUUGAGGAGGAAGUCUUCUCCCUCUGAACCAGACUGCUUGUCAGGGGUCCCUUCAAAAGUGAUGGCUCCUGAAAGAAAAAGGGAUGGUGCGAGACAAUUUACUGUUGUGCACCAGCCACCAGCCCCAAUGUAAAUUAGAUGUUGCAAUAACCAGUAGUUUUUGCCCUCAGUUCAGGUCCUCUUAGCAUGUUUGAUAUGAGUGAAGAUAGUCUGGACCUAUUAGAGGAAGCCCGAAGGGCAUGUUUCAUGCUAGAAUAGAAUAUCCCCUAAAACUUCAAAACAAAAUAGAUUUUUUUUAGUUCAA